rnacentral:rRNA from 1 species
GGCCAGACUCCUACGGGAGGCAGCAGUGGGGAAUAUUGCACAAUGGGGGGAACCCUGAUGCAGCGACGCCGCGUGAGUGAAGAAGUAUUUCGGUAUGUAAAGCUCUAUCAGCAGGGAAGAAGAUGACGGUACCUGACUAAGAAGCCCCGGCUAACUACGUGCCAGCAGCCGCGGUAAUACGUAGGGGGCAAGCGUUAUCCGGAUUUACUGGGUGUAAAGGGAGCGUAGACGGCAGGGCAAGUCUGGAGUGAAAGGCCGGGGCCCAACCCCGGGACUGCUUUGGAAACUGCCAUGCUGGAGUGCUGGAGAGGUAAGCGGAAUUCCUAGUGUAGCGGUGAAAUGCGUAGAUAUUAGGAGGAACACCAGUGGCGAAGGCGGCUUACUGGACUGUAACUGACGUUGAGGCUCGAAAGCGUGGGGAGCAAACAGGAUUAGAUACCCUUGUAUCA